AACGUAGGAGGCAAGCGUUAUCCGGAUUCACUGGGCGUAAAGCGCGUGCAGGCGGUUUGGUAAGUUGGGUAUGAAAGCUCCUGGCUUAACUAGGAGAGGCUAUCCAAUACUAUCAGACUUGAGGACGGUAGAGGAAGAUGGAAUUCCCGGUGUAGUGGUGAAAUGCGUAGAUAUCGGGAGGAACACCAGUGGCGAAAGCGAUCUUCUGGACCGUUUCUGACGCUCAGACGCGAAAGCUAGGGUAGUAAACGGGAUUAGAGACCCCGGUAAUCCUAGCCGUAAACGAUGUAAACUUGGCGUUGGUGGCUUAAACACCAUCAGUGCCGCAGCUAACGCGAUAAGUUUACCGCCUGGGGACUACGAUCGCAAGAUUAAA
rnacentral:rRNA from 1 species